AGGGUUUGAUCCUGGCUCAGAUUGAACGCUGGCGGCAGGCCUAACACAUGCAAGUCGAGCGGAUGAAGGGAGCUUGCUCCUGGAUUCAGCGGCGGACGGGUGAGUAAUGCCUAGGAAUCUGCCUGGUAGUGGGGGAUAACGUCCGGAAACGGGCGCUAAUACCGCAUACGUCCUGAGGGAGAAAAUGGGGGAUCUUCGGACCUCACGCUAUCAGAUGAGCCUAGGUCGGAUUAGCUAGUUGGUGGGGUAAAGGCCUACCAAGGCGACGAUCCGUAACUGGUCUGAGAGGAUGAUCAGUCACACUGGAACUGAGACACGGUCCAGACUCCUACGGGAGGCAGCAGUGGGGAAUAUUGGACAAUGGGCGAAAGCCUGAUCCAGCCAUGCCGCGUGUGUGAAGAAGGUCUUCGGAUUGUAAAGCACUUUAAGUUGGGAGGAAGGGCAGUAAGUUAAUACCUUGCUGUUUUGACGUUACCAACAGAAUAAGCACCGGCUAACUUCGUGCCAGCAGCCGCGGUAAUACGAAGGGUGCAAGCGUUAAUCGGAAUUACUGGGCGUAAAGCGCGCGUAGGUGGUUCAGCAAGUUGGAUGUGAAAUCCCCGGGCUCAACCUGGGAACUGCAUCCAAAACUACUGAGCUAGAGUACGGUAGAGGGUGGUGGAAUUUCCUGUGUAGCGGUGAAAUGCGUAGAUAUAGGAAGGAACACCAGUGGCGAAGGCGACCACCUGGACUGAUACUGACACUGAGGUGCGAAAGCGUGGGGAGCAAACAGGAUUAGAUACCCUGGUAGUCCACGCCGUAAACGAUGUCGACUAGCCGUUGGGAUCCUUGAGAUCUUA
rnacentral:rRNA from 1 species